rnacentral:rRNA from 1 species
CUUGGUCAUUUAGAGGAAGUAAAAGUCGUAACAAGGUUUCCGUAGGUGAACCUGCGGAAGGAUCAUUAGUGAAUUGAAUAUGUUAGCGGACCUCUUCGGAGUCCCUAACAUCAAAUCAUAUCCAUAACACCUGUGAACUGUAAGGCUGUCUUGAAAACGAAAGUGAUUAGAGCGCCUGCCCAUUUUAUGCAAACAUUAAAGUAACAAACGUAGUCUUAUUAUAAUCUAAUAAAACUUUCAACAACGGAUCUCUUGGCUCUCGCAUCGAUGAAGAACGCAGCGAAAUGCGAUAAGUAAUGUGAAUUGCAGAAUUCAGUGAAUCAUCGAAUCUUUGAACGCACCUUGCGCUCUUUGGUAUUCCGAAGAGCAUGCCUGUUUGAGUGUCAUGAAAAUAUCAACCUUGACUUGGGUUUAGUGCUCUUGUCUUGGCUUGGAUUUGGCUGUUUGCCGCUCGAAAGAGUCGGCUCAGCUUAAAUGUAUUAGCUGGAUCUGUCUUUGAGACUUGGUUUGACUUGGCGUAAUAAGUAUUUCGCUAAGGACAUUCUUCGGAGUGGCCUCGUUUCUAGGACGCUUGUCCGCUUCCCAAUACAAGUUCCACCUCGUGGACAUGACUUUUUUAUUAUCUGGCCUCAAAUCAGGUAGGACUACCCGCUGAACUUAAGCAUAUCAAUAAGCGGAGGA